rnacentral:rRNA from 1 species
UACGGAGGGUGCAAGCGUUAUCCGGAUUCACUGGGUUUAAAGCGCGCGUAGGCGGCCCGGUAAGUCCGUUGUGAAAGUCAAAGGCUCAACCUUUGAAUGCCGAUGGAUACUGUCGGGCUAGAGUGCGGAAGAGGCGAGUGGAAUUCCUGGUGUAGCGGUGAAAUGCGCAGAUAUCAGGAGGAACACCAAUUGCGAAGGCAGCUCGCUGGGACGUGACUGACGCUGAGACGCGAAAGCGUGGGGAGCAAACAGG